rnacentral:rRNA from 1 species
AGACGGGUGAGUACACAUGGGUAACCCACCUUCAAGCCGGGGAUAACGUGUGGAAACGCACGCUAAUACCCGAUGCGUACGCUUAAGAGGAGACUGUGAGCGUAGAAAGUUACGGCGCUUGAAGAGGGGCCUGUGGCCCAUCAGUUAGUUGGUAGGGUAACGGCCUACCAAGGCGAAGACGGGUAGGGGGUGUGAGAGCACGGNCCCCCACAAUGGGACUGAGAGACGGCCCAUACUCCUACGGGAGGCAGCAGCAGGGAAUCUUGCGCAAUGGACGGAAGUCUGACGCAGCGACGCCGCGUGGGUGAAGACGGCCUUCGGGUUGUAAAGCCCUUUUCUGGAGGAAGAGGGAGGACGGUACUCCAGGAAUAAGUGUCGGCUAACUACGUGCCAGCAGCCGCGGUAAUACGUAGGACACGAGCGUUAUCCGGAUUUAC